CAAAGGUAUGAGCAUAGUAUGUCUGUCAAAAGAACGUGUCAAACUGAGGUUGAUGGGUGGGCUGGGUAUUCGUAGAAUGCUGGUUAAUUAGAUGUGUGGUUCGUGUUCCUGCUCCCGAACCUAUUUUGGCAUUUUAACUUCAUGUCACAAUCUGUUGGACUUAGAGUUUUGUUUUGUAAUUUUGAUCUAAUUAAGGUUUGUUUUUUGUGAUUUUUGUUUGUUAACAUUUCUGGUGUUCUGUUCUUUGUUCCCUGAUUUACUCAAUACGUUCUCUCCAUUCCUUGGUUUUAUAUACUAACACAACUGUUCCUCAUCAGUUCAUUUACUCACCUGUGUUGCAUUCAGUUAUUAUUACUCCUUUGUUCAAAUUACUCAAUGAGAGAUCUUCUGUUGUCCACAACCUGUCAUAUCCAGGCUGUGUACAGGCUGUGUGCAGGCUGUGUUUUGUGCUGUGUUCUCUCUGUGCAGGGUGUGACUGGCAGGUGCUGCUGCACAGGUGUAGCUCAUCUGAGAGCAAUCAGCUGGGCUUCAUAUGGAGUGGAAACCCAGAGGGAGGCGUCAGCUUGUUUUCUCAUUUGGCAUGAUCGAUCUUCUACUGAAGGUAGCUGUGGAAUAUCUCUGGUCUCCUGUUUCACUCGUGUCAUGUUCAGAGGAGUUUGGAAACUCCAGCCUCAACACCCCAGCCCUGAGCCUCCACUCUGCUUCCAACUCUAAACCCAGCUUCUCAGGAGCCGCCUAAACCUAACCAUCAGCCUGCCUAUCCACCCUCCGUUAACUCUCCAACCACUGUGGAGUUUCCCAGAAGAAAAGAAACACAAACCAAGAAAUACAGCAAUUCUCCCCACAUACUGUGCACUUCCCAUCAGCUUCAAGCCACCGUGGAAAAAUACUUAUUACUACCCCCGAGGCCUUACCAAGAACUCUAAAGAACACAUUUACUUUUUCUCCACUUCCACCCAUAGUGUUAAUCAGCCUCUGUUUCCUACUUCAGAGAGAUCCCGAUUUUUCCCGCUGCUCUAGUCUUGGUUCCAGUCCCACUUCUAUUGUGUAUCUUAAACUGUUAAAACGUUGCCUUGGUCCUUGUGGUUGUGUCUCUUCAGAGUCUAGGAAAACCCAUUAUGACACAACCUGCUGUUUCUGGUUCUUUCUGUCAUGUCUUUAUUCACCAAACUCAAAUAUUUGAUCUUUUAUCUCUUAAAGUUCAUUCCAUUUACCAUGAAACAUCUACUCUAAAAUUUCCUUUUGUAAUUGGGGCAUGAUGGAGACAUUUUAUGGGUCAAAAGAAUGACAUUAUGUAAACAAGGGAUUUUAACAAGGGACAGUAUUCAUGUUUGAUACAAACAGCAGUAUUUAUGAAAUCCCCUUGUUUGAUUAAUAAAAAUGGAGUCAGAACCUACAGAUUAUUAGCCUAUGUUGCUACUGAUUGUUGUUUAUUGGAUUUAAAGUUUAAAGCAACUAGACAGUUUGCAACUUGACCAAUUUGUUAAUUUAACAAACCGGAGCCUCAAUACGUCAUAGGAGAAAUAUACAGUCACAACAGCCUGGCACCUCCACCUCAUGCAGGUUACUAGCUUGGUCACCCACUGCUGUGGGAUGCAUCCCAUUCUGAAACUAGCAUUUGUUGCAAGUCGGACAAUGUGGUUGUGUUGGUCACUUUUAGCACAAACAGCUCGCUAAGGCUGAUCUCACAAGUGUUCAGUGGGUCAUCCUAUCCACACCCAAAUUCUGGAAGCAGUUACUGUCAGUCACUGAGAUGCUGCCCCACACCAUCACACUGCUUCCACCAAAAGCUGUUUGGCAUUAAGAAAAUGUAACACAAGUUUUAUGAAUACAAGCCACAUUCUCCACUCUGCUGCUUAAACCACAAAAUAAUUUAAAUUUCUCCUCACAAAUCUGGCACCAUUAAGAAGAGAUAAAUAGGACUUACAGCUGUAUAACAUUGAUUAUUUGGAAGCAUUGUUAAAGCAAAUAAAAAAUCAACUAAAAAAAUGUUACAGUUUGUGUGCUUGUGACAUCCAUGUAUUUUCAAAAAGUUAAAGAAAAGCCUUC